UACGAAGGGGGCUAGCGUUGUUCGGAUUUACUGGGCGUAAAGCGCACGUAGGCGGAUCGUUAAGUCGGGGGGUGAAAUCCUGGAGCUCAACUCCAGAACUGCCUUCGAUACUGGCGAUCUAGAGUCCGGAAGAGGUGAGUGGAACUCCUAGUGUAGAGGUGGAAUUCGUAGAUAUUAGGAAGAACACCAGUGGCGAAGGCGGCUCACUGGGUCCGGUACUGACGCUGAGGUGCGAAAGCGUGGGGAGCAAACAGGAUUAGAAACCCGUGGGAUA
rnacentral:rRNA from 1 species